UGCCGCCUAGCGUAGCUGGUAGCGCUUUUGCUGUUCAGCCAAAUGGACCCUAGGUUCAAAUCCAACGGAGGUAU